rnacentral:rRNA from 1 species
GUGGGGAAUCUUGCGCAAUGGGCGAAAGCCUGACGCAGCCAUGCCGCGUGAAUGAUGAAGGUCUUAGGAUUGUAAAAUUCUUUCACCGGGGACGAUAAUGACGGUACCCGGAGAAGAAGCUCCGGCUAACUUCGUGCCAGCAGCCGCGGUAAUACGAAGGGGGCUAGCGUUGCUCGGAAUUACUGGGCGUAAAGGGCGCGUAGGCGGACAGCUUAGUCAGAGGUGAAAGCCCAGGGCUCAACCUUGGAAUUGCCUUUGAUACUGGCUGUCUUGAGUUUGGGAGAGGUGAGCGGAACUCCGAGUGUAGAGGUGAAAUUCGUAGAUAUUCGGAAGAACACCAGUGGCGAAGGCGACUCACUGGCCCAAUACUGACGCUGAGGCGCGAAAGCGUGGGGAGCAAACAGGAUUAGAAACCCGUGUAGUCC